UACGUAGGUGACAAGCGUUGUCCGGAUUUACUGGGCGUAAAGAGCGCGCAGGCGGUCGUUCAAGUCGAGUGUGAAAGCCCCCGGCUCAACUGGGGAGGGUCACUCGAUACUGAUCGACUCGAAGGCAGGAGAGGGUAGUGGAAUUCCCGGUGUAGUGGUGUAAAUGCGUAGAUAUCGGGGAGGAACACCAGUGGCGAAGGCGACUACCUGGCCUGUUCUUGACGCUGAGGCGCGAAAGCUAGGGGAGCAAACGGG
rnacentral:rRNA from 1 species